GCCAAGCAGCCAAGCAGUGAGGGAGCCAGACAGCCACGUGGAGAGGUCCCACAUAGGUGAUCUGACCAACCAUUCCAGCAGAGGAGGUCUCAGCUGUCAGCUGCCACCCACCGCCAGACAGUGUCUCACACUACACCCUGGUCACACUGGUCUUCGUUCUCUUCCUCAAAGACUGCAAGCUCUUUCCUACUUGAAGCCUUUGCAUUUUGAUCCUCUCCUCUGGAAAUGGCUUUGAAGAACACUCGACCCAAGGUUUGGUAUUUGGUCUCCCCAUGAAGCUGUGAGUCCGAACCAAUUACUCUUUGGUGAAGCCCGCAUGUCAACAACUUUCUCUGUUCUUCCACUGCUUCCAAUCAGAACUGCAGUGCCUCACACAUCAAUAUGAAUGGGCAGCUAAGAAUUACUUGAUAUUUCUAGAAGGCCUUCAACAUGAUAGGCAUACAUCCAAACUAAGAGGAAAAAGGAAUAUAGAAAAAAAUGGUGAAGAAGAAAAGCACAGAAACCAUAACUAAUAUUUUUUAGAAUGAUAAAAGAAGGUUAUGCCUUCUUUAAAUGAGAACUGGGGGUGACUUUUUUAAAAGGAGCAGAAGAAAGAAAAUUCUUGGACAUGCAAAUAUAACAUCCACAUUUUAUUAAAAGGCAAAGGAAGAUUUGGACUAUAAAAUCAGGACAAAGUCCCAAAAAGUAUAACAAAGAAAUGGAAAUUGACAGAAAAAUUUAGAUGGUCAGUUUAGGAGCAGCAUUGUAAGUCCUAGAGAGAAAUAAAAUUUUAAAAGGAUGGAGGUGCCUGGGUGGCUCAGUAGGUUACGCAUCUGCCUUUGGCUUAGGAUGGAGCCUGCAUCUGACUCCCUGCCUG